UGUAAAUAGCUUGUUAAAAAUGAUAUAGGUAAAAGGAGGAAAGAAAAAUAAUUUUAAAGAAAAAUUGUGUUAGUAAUUUUUAAUGAAAGUAGGAUAAAGACUAGAGAGAAAAGUACUGUGAAGGAAAGCAAUAAGACUUAGUAUAGGAAAAGUAAACUUUUGUGCCUUGUGUAUCAGAAAAAAUUUAUAUAAUUUAGUCAGUCUAAAGGUCUCGAAAUAAAAUAUAGUAAUUUUUAUAAAAUUUUCUUUUUAGAAAAAAAGAAUUUAAUGUAAAAUUUAAAGUGAAACGCUAGUUGAGUUUUAUUAUAUCUAGUUUUUUUAAAAAUAAAUUGAAUUUAUUUUUUAUAGCUAUAAGAUAUAAAAUUUAAUGGCAAGAGGGAACAGCUUCUUGUGUAAAAUGUUGUAAAAUAGUUAAGUAAUAGGAUAUUUUAUAGAUUAGGCUUAAAAGUAGCCAUAUUUAAAAAGUGUUUUAACUAAAUUAUGGUUAAAAAAUAUUUAGGGUAACUUUUUCAAUGUAUAAAAAAAUUAUUUGAAAUGUAAAAGAAUAAAAUAUAAUGAUUUUAUUAGUAAAAUUUGCUAUGAAAAUGAGUGU
rnacentral:rRNA from 1 species